UGAGGAACAUGACCUUCGGCGGGGGAUAGCCGGCCCAACGGCCGGGUAAUACCGCGUACGACCACAUGGGGACAUCCCUGAGUGGUGAAAGCAGCAAUGCGCCGAUGGAGUGCCUCGCGGCCUAUCAGCUAGUUGGUGAGGUAACGGCCCACCAAGGCGACGACGGGUAGCCGGCCUGAGAGGGUGACCGGCCACACGUGGGACUGAGAUACCGGCCCAGACUCCGUACGGGAGCAGC
rnacentral:rRNA from 1 species